rnacentral:rRNA from 3 species
GGGUAGUUUGACUGGGGCGGUCUCCUCCUAAAGAGUAACGGAGGAGCACGAAGGUUGGCUAAUCCUGGUCGGACAUCAGGAGGUUAGUGCAAUGGCAUAAGCCAGCUUGACUGCGAGCGUGACGGCGCGAGCAGGUGCGAAAGCAGGUCAUAGUGAUCCGGUGGUUCUGAAUGGAAGGGCCAUCGCUCAACGGAUAAAAGGUACUCCGGGGAUAACAGGCUGAUACCGCCCAAGAGUUCAUAUCGACGGCGGUGUUUGGCACCUCGAUGUCGGCUCAUCACAUCCUGGGGCUGAAGUAGGUCCCAAGGGUAUGGCUGUUCGCCAUUUAAAGUGGUACGCGAGCUGGGUUUAGAACGUCGUGAGACAGUUCGGUCCCUAUCUGCCGUGGGCGCUGGAAGAUUGAGGGGGGCUGCUCCUAGUACGAGAGGACCGGAGUGGACGCAUCACUGGUGUUCGGGUUGUCAUGCCAAUGGCACUGCCCGGUAGCUACAUGCGGAAGAGAUAAGUGCUGAAAGCAUCUAAGCACGAAACUUGCCCCGAGAUGAAUCUUCCCUGAGCCUUUAAGGCUCCUGAAGGAACGUUGAAGACGACGACGUUGAUAGGCCGGGUGUGUAAGCGCAGCGAUGCGUUGAGCUAACCGGUACUAAUGAACCGUGAGGCUUAACCUU